rnacentral:rRNA from 1 species
UACAGAGGGGGCAAGCGUUGUUCGGAAUUACUGGGCGUAAAGGGCGCGUAGGCGGCCUUCUAAGUCGAACGUGAAAUCCCUGGGCUCAACCCAGGAACUGCGUCCGAUACUGGAAGGCUUGAAUCCGGGAGAGGGAUGCGGAAUUCCAGGUGUAGCGGUGAAAUGCGUAGAUAUCUGGAGGAACACCGGUGGUGAAGGCGGCAUCCUGGACCGGUAUUGACGCUGAGGCGCGAAAGCCAGGGGAGCAAACGGG